GGUCUUGCUGUCACUUAUAGAUGGAUCCGCGCUGCAUUAGCUAGUUGGUAAGGUAACGGCUUACCAAGGCAACGAUGCAUAGCCGACCUGAGAGGGUGAUCGGCCACACUGGAACUGAGACACGGUCCAGACUCCUACGGGAGGCAGCAGUAGGGAAUCUUCCGCAAUGGGCGAAAGCCUGACGGAGCAACGCCGCGUGAGUGAUGAAGGUCUUCGGAUCGUAAAACUCUGUUAUUAGGGAAGAACAUAUGUGUAAGUAACUGUGCACAUCUUGACGGUACCUAAUCAGAAAGCCACGGCUAACUACGUGCCAGCAGCCGCGGUAAUACGUAGGUGGCAAGCGUUAUCCGGAAUUAUUGGGCGUAAAG
rnacentral:rRNA from 1 species